rnacentral:rRNA from 1 species
UACGUAGGGUGCGAGCGUUGUCCGGAAUUACUGGGCGUAAAGCGUGCGCAGGCGGUUGUGCAAGACCGAUGUGAAAUCCCCGGGCUUAACCUGGGAAUGGCAUUGGUGACUGUACGGCUAGAGUGUGUCAGAGGGGGGUAGAAUUCCACGUGUAGCAGUGAAAUGCGCAGAGAUGUGGAGGAAUACCGAUGGCGAAGGCAGCCCCCUGGGAUAACACUGACGCUCAUGCACGAAAGCGUGGGGAGCAAACAGG